CAGUCGAUUUAGUGGAGGGUUUGGU
rnacentral:piRNA from 1 species